AGAGCGAAAGAGAGAGGGGAGAGGGAAAAAUCACAACUCAGCCAGUCGAGCAAUUUGAGAGGCUGCUGUCACGCACCCUGCGCACUGAAGCGAGCAGCCGUGCGCCUUCUUCAUGCGCGGGAUCAGCACCGCACUGAGCUGGACAGGAUGCUGACGGACAGAUGGAAACACACCGAGUCUCUGCCGUAGAGACAGAGGGUCCACCCGUACAGCAAGUGCAUAAGGAGGAGAAGUAUUCGCCGGUACACUAGGGCUGCAUCCCUACCUUCAGAGGGGACAGCAUGGACAGAACAGUUAUCGUUAAAAUGGCAGUCUCAAAAAUUCGAUCCUAACAAGAGGGAAUUUGCGGGGAAAGUGCGAACGAAGGAUUUGACCGGCUUGUCGGCGAUUUGUAUUACAGCCUAGCACUUCGGUAAGUUGCUCGGGAGAAUGGAAAAGCCCACCCAGCCUCAGCUGCAGUCGAGCAUAUCCAAGAGCGCAGAAGGUCCCUCAGAGGACCUCUCCAAACUUACGGACGAAGAUCUUCUGAAAUGGAGUAAGGAGGAGCUGGUUCGCCGGCUCCGCAGAGCCGAAGCUGAGAAGAUGAGCGUCAUAGUGGACCACAGCAAUCUCAUCCGAGAGGUGAACCGCAGGCUUCAGCAGCAUCUCAAUGAAAUACGGGGGCUGAAGGAGGUGAAUCAGAAGCUGCAAGAAGACAACCAGGAGCUGCGGGACCUCUGCUGUUUUCUGGAUGACGACCGGCAGAAAGGGAAAAAGGUGUCGAGGGAAUGGCAGCGCUUGGGCCGCUACAGCGCAGGGAUCAUGCGUAAGGAGGUGACGCUUUACCUGCAGAAGCUAAAAGAGCUGGAGCAGAGGCAGGAGGAAGUGGUAAGGGAGAACCUUGAACUGAGAGAGCUGUGCCUCAUGUUGGAUGAGGAGAAGGGCCCUGGAGGUACCGGUGGGUCAACAGUUACCGGGGGACCAGCUGGCUGCAGGAGUUCAAUUGAUAGUCAGAGCAGCCUGUCUCACGCUAGUGGCCCUGGGCCUGGCCUACUAAGGGAUGUGGGUGACGGGAGCAGUACCUCCAGCGCGGGCAGCACCGACAGCCCUGACCAUCUCACACAUAAGCAGCAGCUGUUGGGUGGCCCGGUUGGAGGCAGUCCUGACCACCUACAUAAGCCAGGCUCAGGGGAGGAGUCAAAGGGUCUUGAACAAGCAAGCCGAAGACAUAGCACUAGCCAGGAGUAUGCAGCACAUACCUUUCCCCAGGUGUGCCGGUCUCGCUGCGGGUCCUUCUCCAGUCCGGACCAUAAAAGUCUGAGGGGUCUCAGUCCAGAGAAACUUGGCAAGCGAGGCAGUCCAGAGCAGUUCUCAAAACACGUACUGGUGUCUUCUCAGCCGCCUGGCAGCCCGGAUCUUUUCCAGAAGCACAGGGGUAGCAUGGGGAGUGUGUGUGGGAGUCCAGAGCCCAAGCAGGUUCUAUCAGGGACACCGGAGCACCUACAGAAGAGUCGUGUCAUAUCUGGGAGUCCAGAGUUGUUGAGACAUCAGCAUGGCAAGUUUGGAAGCCCUGGCAGAGAGGUGGCACAGAAGAGGCCGGGCGUAGAGGAGAUGUCCCCUCAUCACCGGAGCAUCUAUAGCGGUAUGAACGGUGGGUCCGAUUGGAGCCUGCUGUAGCACCCACAAUGAGAUAUACGGAGUCCCAUUUGAGUACACCACAUGCAGAGGAUGGUCAUCCUUCAGCCAGCAAAGCCCCAAUCCCCAGCCAGGCACUAAACCCUCCCAUUCAGCCAGCCAUGAUCUGCAUUUAGUUUAGUUUUGCUUUGCUCAGUUCAGGAGAGGCAAUGGCCAGAUAGAGCAGAGGCUUUAGUGUCUGGCUAGAGCAGAACAUCUCAUCUGUGGUAAAGGUCGGUGGUGUCCAGUCUUGGUCCUCUUGGGCCAUGAUUUUAGAAGGCUUUAGCUGCCUCCUAUCAAUCAGCCUCUGUACCUGUGCCUCAGAAGCCAUUUUUUAUGCUCUGGAACCCAGCUGACUGUAAUCAAUCAAUGAAAGACCAAAAAGCUCAGAGGCCCAACAAAAGCCAGAAGACAGUGCUGCCCAGGAGGACCAGGAGUGGACACCAUUGUAUUUGCCAUAUGCAUGCAGCUCUGAUAUCGGCUGGCUGUUGCACCAGCUCCUGUAGAAGUGUCAAGCUUUGGGACAGUUUUGAUGCCUCCUGACCAUUGCCUUGACUGGAUUCAGUGGGCUAUGAAAAAGGAUCCCCGUUCCUUUCAUUUAACUUGCACUGACAGAAAUGGAAGACAAGAAUGAAAAAGCCUGAGUGAAGGACAAAAACGUUUGUGCAGCCAGUGUUUCUCGUCCCCCUCCCUCACCACACUGGUUCCUGCUGGUCUCCCAAUACAACUUACAGCCCUGCAAAUCCAAGGCCUGGAGGAGGGAUUCUUUAGGGUUCAAACAGCUGGAAAUAACAUGAUUGCCAAAAGGAUUUCUCAAAUGGGAGAUUUAAUCAUCUCUCUUUUGCCAACAAAAUAGACCUACCUCCUUUGAACGGAAGCAGAAAAAAAAAUUGAAAUGGAACUGAAAGGUUUUUUACCCAUUUUGUUUACAGUUGCCACAAAACACACAAUCAACCCACACUGUAAAAAAAAAAAAAAAAAAAAAAAAAAAACUUUUUUGAGGUUUUCCAGUAAAAAAAAGUCUAAACAUCCUUUACUAAUUAAGAAGCAAAACUGCAUAAAACAUUAAGAAUAAAAACUAUUUUUCAUUUUUAUUACCUUUUACUACUUACUAUGCCACUAAAUUGUGUGAAAUUUAUGCUGCAAAUUAUACAAUGCUAACAAAAGAAGUAUAAAUAUACAUAACAUAGAAAAUUCUACAUAACUUAUGCUAAAUUGCAUAAGAUAUUAUACAACCUGCUUUAAGAGACGGUAAGAAAACAAUAUAUUUAUAAUCUCUAAUAACAUGUCUUAUGCAAUUUUGCUUAUGUAAAGGGAAUCUAGGUAUUUUUGACUGAAAACUAUUUGACAAAAAUAUAAUUCUUUUCUUUCAUUUUUUUUUUUUUUUUUUUGCAGUGUGCCAGCAUUUUGCACACACAGGCACAUACCUAUUACCAAACCAGUUUUAUGUGUAGAAGAACAAGGGCAUUUCUUAAACUGUUUUGAGGAAAAGAGAAAUACCGAAUGUCAGUGGCUCACAAAAGUAUCAAAUUUGAACUGAAAAUCUGAAUGAUUAUGACAUUAUGUCAUAUCAACCACUGCCUGGCUUUCUUAGGACCUUUGUGAAAACAGUUGAUUGACUAAUGACUAGAGCCAUGUGUAAAGUAUGGUAGUUAAACACUUAACUAUCCAGUCGCUAAAGUCGAAAAGUCAAAGUGGGAGGUGUCCUAAAACACCCCUCCUGUCUCUUUAUAUCCCAUUACUGACCUGUUUGUAGAUGCAGUGUUGUGUGAUGUAAAAGAAGCACAUAGAAAGCUGCUGCUGCUGCACCCGAGACUUGUGUAGCCAGACGCUUUAGGCUUCCAUUGUGUCGAGUCUUCUUGCCUCUGGUGUUUCUGCCCUCACUGCUGCUGAAAUCAAGCGGCCCAAUCACAAAGCUCACAUAUCUUGACCAUUUCAAUGCUUUGUGAAAUUGCCAAACCCAUUUUAUUGUUCACCAAUAAAAUGGAUUUUUUUUUCUCCGUCUGUCUGUGGAUUCAAAAGGAACGGAUCUGUUAGAGUCCUGUCUAGCUUGCCCUCACGUUCUCUGUUUUUCGGACCAUAACUGAGAGGUAAAACUCAGAGACUUGUCAUCCUGCUGGACUACAUAGACCAUCAUGCCUCUCGUCUUACCAGGUAUUUAAUUGAACCUCUUCUGGCCGACAGUACAAACCGGGUACUGUUGCAUGUCAUAUGAGAGGACUUCAUAGUUUAUAUUUGUUCCCUCACUGAACGUAACAUGCAUCUUGCAAACCAUCGAUUCUCCUGUAUGCCGUCAGUAUUAAAAACAGCAAAAGUUACUUGAUAAGCUCAUUAACCUGUGAUUUUUUUAUUUUUGUUGACAGAUUACGAAACAGAACAAAUAUUAAUAUAUAAAACCUUUAUGUUUUUAAAAAGUAAAGAGUAGUUUAAGGCUUAGUUUUUUAUAUAUGACAACUAUAAUUAUUAUUUUUGACGUACUGGUAUUAUUGAAUCUAUAAAUAUUAUACUAAGAAAUGUAUGUAAAAACAAUAAAGUCUUCUUUAUGUAAAACGGUUUUAAUUUGUUUCUUAUUUUGACUGAUUUGUUCAUUUUACAGGCCUCAUGUCAGGAAACCAGAAAUCGAAUUCAUAAUGUUUAAAUGUAACUUAACCAGUUUCUAAAGCUGUAUGACUAUCUGUUCUUCAGUUUUCAGUGAUGCAUGUCCCUUCAUUAUUCAUUUUAAUAUGCUGAUAUGGUGCUCAAGAAACAUUUCUUAUCGAUGCUAAAACAGUUGUACUGCUUAAUAUUUUUGUGGGACUCUUUAUUUUAUUCUUUACAUGAUUUAAUGCA